UACGUAGGUCCCGAGCGUUGUCCGGAUUUAUUGGGCGUAAAGCGAGCGCAGGCGGUUUGAUAAGUCUGAAGUUAAAGGCUGUGGCUCAACCAUAGUUCGCUUUGGAAACUGUCAAACUUGAGUGCAGAAGGGGAGAGUGGAAUUCCAUGUGUAGCGGUGAAAUGCGUAGAUAUAUGGAGGAACACCGGUAGCGAAAGCGGCUCUCUGGUCUGUAACUGACGCUGAGGCUCGAAAGCGUGGGGAGCGAACAGG
rnacentral:rRNA from 1 species